UACGGGGGGGGCAAGCGUUGUUCGGAAUUAUUGGGCGUAAAGGGUGCGUAGGCGGUUUGGUAAGUCUGAUGUGAAAUCUAUGGGCUCAACUCAUAGUCUGCAUCGGAAACUGCCGGGCUUGAGUGUGGGAGAGGUGAGUGGAAUUCCUGGUGUAGCGGUGAAAUGCGUAGAUAUCAGGAGGAACACCUGUGGCGAAAAGCGGCUCACUGGACCAUAACUGACGCUGAUGCACGAAAGCUAGGGGAGCAAACAGG
rnacentral:rRNA from 1 species